AUGGGUUGGUGGCGCAAUGUUUCCCAGUACGGGCGACGUUGUCGUGCACACCUAGCGUAAACACUGUGCAGAUACCUGAGCCCGCCACCGAGCGGGCUUUUUUUU
rnacentral:sRNA from 1 species